rnacentral:tRNA from 1 species
GAGAAGAGUUAUGAAACACAGAAACUGCUAAU